rnacentral:rRNA from 1 species
GGCUAGCGUUGCUCGGAAUGACUGGGCGUAAAGGGCGCGUAGGCGGCUCAUACAGUCAGAUGUGAAAUUCCUGGGCUUAACCUGGGGGCUGCAUUUGAUACGUGUGGGCUUGAGUGGGGAAGAGGGUCGUGGAAUUCCCAGUGUAGAGGUGAAAUUCGUAGAUAUUGGGAAGAACACCGGUGGCGAAGGCGGCGACCUGGUCCUUGACUGACGCUGAGGCGCGAAAGCGUGGGGAGCAAACAGG